CACGAGCGCGGGCGACGUGCAGGGGUAACACGGGGGGGGCAGGGGGUGGUCGGAAUUAGUGGGCGGAAAGGGCUCGGAGGCGGCAAACUAAGACGGAUGUGACAGCCCCAGGCUUAACCUGGGAAAUGCAUCCGAUACGGGUUGGCUUGAAUCCGGGAGAGGGAUGCGGAAUUCCAGGUGUAGCGGUGAAAUGCGUAGAUAUCUGGAGGAACACCGGUGGCGAAGGCGGCAUCCUGGACCGGCAUUGACGCUGAGUGAGCGAAAGCCAGGGGAGCAAACGGGAUUAGAUACCCUAGUAGUC
rnacentral:rRNA from 1 species